rnacentral:rRNA from 1 species
UACGAGGGGGGCGAGCGUUGUUCGGAAUUAUUGGGCGUAAAGGGUGCGUAGGCGGUUCCGCAAGUCCUGUGUGAAAUCUUCGGGCUCAACUCGAAGUCUGCACGGGAAACUGCGGGGCUUGAGUGUGGGAGAGGUGAGUGGAAUUCCCGGUGUAGCGGUGAAAUGCGUAGAGAUCGGGAGGAACACCCGUAGCGAAGGCGGCCGACUGGACCACACCUGACGCUGAGGCGCGAAGGCCAGGGGAGCGAACGGG